rnacentral:rRNA from 1 species
CCCUUAGAUGUUCUGGGCCGCACGCGCGCUACACUGAUUCAUGCAACGAGUUUUGUCCUUGGCUGAUAGGCCUGGGUAAUCUUUGAACGUGAAUCGUGAUGGGGAUAGAUGAUUGCAAUUAUUCAUCUUCAACGAGGAAUUCCUAGUAAACGCAAGUCAUCAGCUUGCAUUGAUUACGUCCCUGCCCUUUGUACACACCGCCCGUCGCACCUACCGAUUGAAUGGUCCGGUGAAAUCUUCGGAUCUGAGAGAUGUCUGAUUAAUUUCGGACGCCUUUUGGAAAAGUUGCUUAAACCUUACCAUUUAGAGGAAGGUGAAGUCGUAACA